CAGGGCCAGAUUAAGAGCCCAGUGGGCCUGGUGCUGACAAUUAUGACGGGCCUAAUUACAGAAUCAUAUCGACCAAAAACAGUAAAACACUCCCAAGCAUCAUGUAUCUGAUGGAGAUGGUGCUGGAGAGAAAGAAAACAGCAGCUAUAAGACAACACAUACCCUAGGCUAAUCUCUCUCUAAUUUAUGUUUUCAUCUUUCAAGUAAAUCUAUAACUCCUAACAGCAGUGUCCAAUCAAGCAGGAAGUCAAUGGGCACUGUAAAAGGGUGUGCCUCUGACAUAAAUCACGUAACCUGCCAAAAGGGACGAACAAGCCCAAAAAGAGGAUAUGUCUGCCCAAAGAAUUAGAAGGCCAGCCUGGUAUGAAUGCAUGCCAGGCUGCCUGCCAAUCAUGCAGCUGGCCAACUAAGGGCAUACUAUGCAGACAGCACCCUGAGCUUGGCAUAAAUGCAUCUAAUGAUGCACUCGCUCAACGCUUUCUAAGGACUGUCCCCUAGCACUCGCUGGUCCACUUGUCUCCUUACAUUCUUACUAGCAGGCAGAAGCUCCUGGUAUAUAGUCAGGGACAGAGAAAAGCUGUAUGUAGUGAGUGUAGAAGAAAGGGAACAUGCCACAGUGUUAGAGAGACCAAAGUCAGCAUUACCUUAAAGGAUCACUAUAGGGUCAGGAACACAAACAUGAAUUCAUGACCCUAUAGUGUUAACACCACCAUCUAGCCCCCCCUGGGCCCCUCAUGCCUCCAUAAAUAUAGCAAAAUCUUACUGUAUUCAAGCCUGGAGCUGUAACUCUGCAUGCUGUUAGACUCAGAAAAACAAGCAGUCUGCUGACAUCAUUAGCAGUGGUGGCCUAAUCCAAUCACAGUGCUUCCCCAUAGGAUUGGCUGAGACUGACAAAGAGGCAGAUCAAGGGCAGAGCCAGCAUGAUUCAAACACAGCCCUGGCCAAUCAGCAUCUCCUCAUAGAGAUGAAUUGAAUCAAUGAAUCUCUAUGAGGAAAGUUCAUUGUCUGUAUGCAGAGGGAGGAGACACUGAAUGUUUGGAUGCAUUUUAGUCAGCCAUGACCCAGGAAGGAUCUCUAACAGCCAUCUAAGGAGUGGCCAGUGAAAUUAUCACUAGGCUGUAAUGUAAAGACUGCAUUUUCUAUGAAAAGACAGUGUUUACAGCCAAAAGCCUGACGGUAAUGAUUCUACUCACCAGAACAAAUUCAAUAAGCUGUAGUUGUUCUGGUGACUCUAGUGUCCCUUUAACUAUAUUCAUUGUCAGCCAGUCCACACAAGUUUUGUUCCCAUCCAUCCCUCUUAAGUGUCCAUACUUAAAUAAGAGUAUGUGAAAAGUAGUUAGGGUUGCCACCUUUCUUGGAAAAACACACCUUGCUAAUUUGCAUAAUUAAAUAUGUAUGGAUGACAUCACAUGAUGUAAAUCACAAGGAGUGACAUAAGAGAAAAUGCUGUAAAAUCACCAAAAAACUACUUAGUUUGAUUUUGCUGUAUAGAUGGAUUCCUCCCAGUGGCCCCAUGUCUCCCAGUGCCCCCACGUGUCGAUUAUUCCAGGUCUCAGUGUUCCUAUGUAUCAGUGUCUCAGUGCCCGAUGUCUCCCAGUGUCCCCUAGUGUCGUGUCCCCAGGUCUCCCAGUGAUCCUAUGUAUCACAGUGUCUCAAUGCCCCAUGUCUCCCUGUGUCCUCAAGUAUCCCAGGUUCCCCAUGUCACUAGGAAGACGGGAAGACCUGGGGACACGGGGAGACCUAGGGACACGGAGACACCAGUGACACUGGGAGACUACGGGACUCUGGCUGGGAUGCAUGGGGACACUGGGAAAAUAGGGGACACUUGAAGACAUGGGGACACAGACACCAGGGACACAGACACUAGAGACACUGGCUGGGGGACAUUGAGACAUGGGGAAAAGGAGACACCAGGGCCACAGACACAAGGAACACUAGCUUGGAGACAUGGGGACAUUGAGACACUUGAGGCACUGGGAAACAUGGAGGCACUAGGAGAUAUGGGCACAGUGAGACACUGGCAGACUGGGGGCACUGGGAGACUAGGGGGCACUGAGACACCAGGGACACUGUCUGGGAGACAUGGGGACACUGUGUUCCCAUGUGUCUGUGUCAUAAUGUCUCCCAAUGUCCCUUAGUGUCUCAGUGUCCCCAUGUCUCCUUGCAGCCUUUGCCCCAUCCCUUACUUCCCUGAGCUGUAGGCUGUCUCUGCAGGGUGGGAAUUGCUGUCUGGACUCUCUGUAACUGCACCCCUGCAGAUCAGUGAGUAUAGAUAGGCAGGGAGGGAUAUGCUGGAACUUCCUAUCCCUGCCUGUCUCCACAUACAGCGACCCCUACUGGCCAGUGCUGGUAUUGCAUAGUAAUCUCUUGUUUAUACUGAGAAAAAUACCAGCAUUUGUAUUGCCAGUCUCACUGCAAUAUUGGCACCAGCCAGGCAGCCUCAAAUACUGGCUGUGCCAAUAAAAUAAAAGCCAGUUGGAAUCCCUAAGAGUAGUGUGUGGAAAA
rnacentral:lncRNA from 1 species